rnacentral:rRNA from 1 species
CGGGGUGAGUAAUGUAUGGGGAUCUGCCUGAUGGCGGGGGAUAACUACUGGAAACGGUAGCUAAUACCGCAUAACGUCGCAAGACCAAAGAGGGGGACCUUAGGGCCUCUUGCCAUCGGAUGUGCCCAGAUGGGAUUAGCUAGUAGGUGGGGUAACGGCUCACCUAGGCGACGAUCCCUAGCUGGUCUGAGAGGAUGACCAGCCACACUGGGACUGAGACACGGCCAG